rnacentral:lncRNA from 1 species
AUGUAUCCCAAUUCCCUGCACGUUGUAGGGAGCCAGCUGCACGGCACAGUGCCAGCAAGCCAGAUGCAUGGCAUGGCUGGAAACACAACCACCCCAUGGUGGGAGCCAUCCUCACUGCAAACCAGGAGGAUCUGCACCCCAUCUGAGGGUAUCACCAUGGCUGCUUGGGGACAAAGCCAGCGUGUGGUUGGGGACAUCAUGGGAAGGUUUAUGUGGCACCUGCAGAGCCGCUCUCAGCAGAGUUUAGAGGGGGUAAUGAGGAAGGAAACUAAGAGAAGGAAAUUGAUAUGUGCCUGCUGCUGCCGGACAGAGGGACAUGAUUGUAUUGGGGCAUGGGGGAACUUUGGAGGCAAGCAAAAGAAACUCCAAGCAAAUGAGAGUAGUGGUGACCCACAGGGUCCUAAUACACAGCCCUGUAGGUCACCACCAUCAUCAACCCAAGCCCCAAACCCACUUUGUAAUAGCAGGGAGGAGAAAACCCUCAGCUGGCUGAAUCCCCAUGGGGAAAGCAAAGAAUUCCUGCUGGCUGCAGCCAACCCUUCCCUGAGCCCCAAAUAUUGCUCUGCUCUGACCCAGGCACAACCCGAUGGACACCAAAACCCGGAGGCAUUUACCUCUCAGCUGGGUAACUCCUGGCACUUCAGUGCACGCAGAGAUUCCAUCCCCACUGCUGUCACCCUGUUAGGAUCAUGUUGGCUGCCGCAGAGUUCAGUCACUUCUCCACCAGUGGCCGUGGCUAUUGCUGAGCUCUCUCAUCCCGCAGAGGAUGUACACGCAUCGCUGAUGGGAGGACGAGCAAAACCACAGCCUGUGGCACAAACACAAAUGAGUACAACCAGCAUCAGCUUGGCCCGUGCCUGGGAAGGAGGAAGCGAUGCUGCACGGCAGGAUGUGGGGGGGGACCCUGAUUUUGGGCUCUGUGCAGAAAGGGGACAAGGCAGGUCCUUGUGCUGUGCAUAUCCCAUAGCACUCAGACUCAGCCCCAAACUCUUUGGAGCUCAGCAUUCCACGCUGGUGUAA